AAAAUUAGCAGCCCCCCAAGUUAAGAAGGAUCCACCCGUCUCGCUGUACCUCGUACAAAAGCGCUACAGCACAAACCGUCCCGCGGUGACCACGAGUGGAUUCCAACACUGACUCUUUUGUAAUCAUUAACUUGCGCUGUUAAGGGGAAAACAAAGUUAAAUCUUUCAUAUAAAUCAAUUAUUUUUUUUUCUUUCCCAGAUCAGAACAAAGAGGCUGCAGCUCGUUAUCAAAAUGCAGUAUUCCCAUCACUGUGAGCACCUUUUAGAGAGACUGAACAAGCAGCGAGAAGCCGGCUUUCUUUGUGACUGCACCGUUGUUAUCGGUGAAUUCCAGUUCAAAGCGCACAGAAAUGUGCUUGCCUCCUUCAGCGAGUACUUCGGGGCAUUUUACAGAGAUGCGUCUGACAAUAAUGUGGUUUUGGAUCAGACUCAAGUGAAAGCUGAUGGAUUCCAAAAACUCCUGGAAUUUAUUUAUACGGGAAACUUAAACCUUGACAGCUGGAAUGUUAAAGAAAUUCACCAGGCUGCUGACUAUCUCAAAGUAGAAGAAGUGGUCACUAAAUGCAAAAUCAAGAUGGAAGACUUUGCUUUUAUUGCUAAUCCCUCUUCCACAGAGACAUCUAGUAUCACUGGAAAUGUUGAAAUGAAUCAGCAGACUUGCCUUCUGACUCUCCAAGAUUACAGUAAUCGGGAGAAAGCAGAUGUUGCUUCCGCAGAGUUGGUUCAACCACAGGCAAAGAAAGCAGCUUUAGAAAAGAAAUCUCCUCAAACCAAAAAGCGAAAGAAGAAUUUCAGCUCCCCCAAAAGCAUACAGAAUAAAUCCAUGCAAUAUCAGAGCGAUGUGACCGAGAACACAUCCAUUGAACUGUUUUUAGAUGCAAAUAAGCUGGCCACCCAGAUCACGGAACAGGCUGCCCAAGGCAGCGAUAACUCUGAGCUACAGCUGGCGUCUGUGGUGGAAAGCGAAACACUGGCAGCGCAGGAUAUCCUAGUCCAGACUAUUGCUGCGAAACAGAAACGGGGAAAACCUCAGCAAAGCUGCGCGCUGAAGGAGCACUGCAUGUCCAACAUAGCCAGUGAGAAGAACGCCUACCAGCUGGAGAGCACAGGGGAGGAACUCGACCAGAAGUACUCCAAAGCUAAGCCGGUGUGCAACACCUGUGGAAAAGUCUUUUCCGAAGCCAGUAGCCUCCGUCGACACAUGAGAAUACACAAAGGAGUGAAACCCUAUGUGUGUCAGCUCUGCGGGAAGGCGUUCACCCAGUGCAAUCAGUUGAAAACACAUGUAAGGACUCACACAGGGGAGAAGCCAUACAAAUGUGAACUGUGCGACAAAGGCUUCGCUCAGAAGUGCCAGUUAGUGUUCCACAGUCGGAUGCAUCAUGGAGAAGAGAAACCAUACAAGUGUGAUGUCUGCAACCUGCAGUUUGCAACUUCAAGCAAUCUGAAGAUUCAUGCCAGGAAGCACAGCGGGGAGAAGCCCUACGUCUGUGAUCGCUGCGGUCAGCGGUUCGCUCAGGCCAGCACGCUCACCUACCACGUGCGUCGCCACACGGGGGAGAAGCCUUACGUGUGCGACAGCUGUGGAAAAGCCUUCGCGGUCUCCAGUUCUCUCAUCACCCAUUCCCGAAAACAUACAGGAGAGAAGCCAUAUAUCUGUGGCAUUUGUGAAAAGAGUUUUAUUUCCUCUGGAGAGCUCAAUAAACAUUUUCGGUCCCAUACAGGUGAGAGACCAUUUAUCUGUGAAAUGUGUGGAAAUUCUUACACAGAUAUAAAAAAUCUUAAGAAGCACAAAACGAAAGUUCACACAGGUUCUGAAACUCCCCCUGAUUCUAAUGCACUUGAUAAUUCUUUCAAUGAACAAGAAUCCAUUCAGAGUCAGAAAAGUCCAUUAUCGGAGUCCAUAGAUGUGAAACCCUCUGAGAUGUCUUUAGCACUUCCUCUUUCCAUUGGGACUGAAGACCAUCAGAUGCUGCUUCCUGUGACGGGUGGUCAGUCUCCUUCCUCAGAAACAUUACUAAGAUCUGCUGUGACUGGAUAUUCAGAACCUCAGUUUAUUUUCUUGCAGCAGUUAUACUGACAGUGCAGUACAGAGCCAUCAAGGUAAUUUGGUAGCAGACGUUUGGUAAGGUGAACGUAAGCAGUCAAGCAGUCACACUUUUUGAAUUGGACUUUUUUUUUUUCCUCUUUGUAAAGACACUUGUAAGGCAUUUCCACUGUGCAGUGCUGUCUUUCAGUUUUUGAAUCAUGCUAAUCUACAGUCACAUUUCUAUUUGCAAUUAACACUGAUUUCCAGGAGAUUGAUUCCUUUCCAGCAACACCUGCCUUAAGAAUUCUCUGUUAAAUAUGUUCAUAUGUUUUGGAGAUGUCCUCCCAUGUUCCUGCUGAUCUGAUGUGUCACAAUGUCAUCUGAGAGCAGAUGUUUUAAGCCAUAAUUGAUAAUUUAUUAAUGCAGGGGUAUAAGGGGAAAAAAUCAUCAUUUGAAUGUCCUAACAAGCUCAUACUCCUGCAUUCCAAGGUGAUACCGUGGUACAUGAUGGAAGGUAGGGCGGUGCUCUGGUGAGGUCUUGCAAAGAAUUCCUGCUGUCUGCCAGAAGCAGCCGUCUUCAGUUGGAGUCUGACCAGAGGGAAAGAAAGUUUUGUGUAUUUUUUCCUGACAAGGCAAGUAAAGGAGAGUUAAUUUUUUUCUGUAGCAUGGUAAGUUAGAGGGUUCUAAUGGCACAGAUACUACCGGGUAUUCUUUCCAACAAGUCACUCUUUUUUUUUAAGUGAAUCAAGCAUUGUAUCUCGUCCCAGAUAUAUUUUUCACAUCCCUCAAAUGUUUUGGUUUUGACAGAAACAGCAACAUUUGCUCAAAAGGAGAGCUGGAUCAUGCAUGUUGUAGAUGAGAUGAAAAGAUGCCUUGACUUAAUUGUGAGGAAUGAAUCAUGGCUUCAUAAUUUUUUUACAGUAGUGCUUCUUGUGCUAAACAGUAGGUAUAAAAAAAGGAAAUAAGUCCUGCCCUUCACUGUGAAAAUAAUAACUGAAUGCUGCAUGAGAGAGCAUUAAGGAAGACUACAACAGAGCAGAUUGAUACUCUUCAAGGAAAGGUUUAGUUCGAGUAUGACUGAUUUGUUUUAAUUAAGUAUCACUUCUCAUGCUACUUGUCCACAGUAACUGCACAAAACUGGUAACUAGCAAGACCCAUGUAAAGGUAUGUUUUAUUACUAGAAAUGUACAUUUUUAAAAAGCAACAUUUUUAGUGUCUGAGUAGGGUCUUUAAUUAAUGACUAGUUAACAAUAGGAGUACUUUUAUACUCCAUUUUGCCAGUUUGUGCCAUUAACAUAAUGUAAGCAUUAUUUAAGUAAUCAUCAAAUAGUAAGGAAACAGAAUACUGUACCAACAAUGCAUUUAAAGAUAUUAUUUGUUGGUUAUUUCUUUGGUGCUAGUGUUUUAUUUCCACUGAUGCCUUGUGUCCAGACACUGAUAAAUAGAAGAGAUAGGAGAUACCUCUAAACUGAUUCUGUUCUACAUGGAGUAAUAAUUAAUCUGCACCUUAAUUAAACAGACUUGUGAAACAUUUCUUGGAAGAUUUCAUUUAAAUAUUCUGCAAAUGAUCCCUCAACAUGACUGUGGAUUUUUUUUUUUCUUACAUGUUUGUACUUGUAAAGUAAUGGCCCUUUCACUGCUUUGUGUUGAUCAUCUUAGUAUGUGGCGUGUUUCAAACUGCUGCUUGAUCAUAUUUUAUGAUUUAAUGUAUGGCAGAUUUGCUGAUAAAUUCUACCACAGGCAGCAAAGAGUACAGCCACGUUCACUAGGAACGUUCUUAAUGCAGGCAUCUCUGACUGUCCACUGGAACUAAUUAUUGCCACCCCUGCCUGACCUUUAAUUUCUUCCCUUAUCUGUACACAACAUUUAUGAAUAGCUGAUCUCCUUCAUAAUGCUGGCAAAGGACAACGGAUUAAGUUCUCUGCUGUUUUUUUUUUCUGUUAGUUUGGCACUUCCCCUUUUCCUCCCCUCUCUUCUUUUUUAGCUUCUGUUGAUGUAGCACCUGCAGGAUUCCUUAUCCUUGCCAUUUCAGACUGAAGAACCACAAAGACUGGGAUCUUGACUCUGUGUAAAAAAACCAAACUCUGUGUAGCUUGUCAUAAGGUUCCUCUUUACUUUCUCUCUCUGAAAAUAGAGCAGAAGUCUUGGGAUAGGCUUAGGCUUGGUCAUGAAUACUGAAAAAGAACAAUACCAUACAACUGAUAAAUUUUAUAUCUAAACAGCUUUGGAAGAUAAACUAAUGAUAUGCUGCUGUUAUCUGAGGAAAAGUAUCUGAAGAUAAACACAUCCAGAAUAAAUGACCACAAGAGAGAACUAGCUCUGGAAGAAAAAAAAAAUAAAUAAAAAAAAAAUUACAUUCCUACAUAGAAAAUGCAUUCCAUAACAAUGUUUGUUUGAACUGUUUUUAUAUUUCUAAAAUUAUAGCUUAUUACUGUAUUCUUAGAUUUCAGACUUUUUUAAAAAAUACAGUGCUUAGAUUUAUACAGGAUUUGUUUAGAUACUUAUAACAGUAACACUUGCUUUAUUAGUCAUUUAGUUUUCUUUAUAGACAAGAAGAUAAUCAUUAUUUUUUACAAGACAACAAUUUUAACCUUUCUUAAUAGAAUACACAGGCUUGUAGUUUUGUCUUGGAGCAAUAAUUUAGUGACCUGCACUCCUGAGUCCCCAUCUGAGAGUCUUGAUUUUUAUCCUCAUCUUUCAUGAAGAUAUCUCAGCUGCUGAGGGGUAGCGACAAAAGGAGGAGGGAAGCAGUCUGACAUAACCACCACCACACACCAUGGCAGAAGGACGCGCAGUAGCCCUUGGUGCAGCUUACUAACACAGCAAGGAUUACUACAGUUCCUUCUCGGCAGUAAACACACCUAACUUUUCUCAUAGAAGAGAUUUUUAUGGAUCUGUUCAAACUAAAUUAAACAAAAACCUUAUUUUAACUACAAUCUAGUAUAAUGACUCUUAGGUUCAUUUUUUGCCACUUGUUUUGAGGUAUUUGGGGUGAGGUUUGGGGGGGGGACUUUGUUUUGGGGGUUUGUUGGUUUUUUACAGAGCACUGAAGAUGUACUUUUUAUGCUAAAACAGAUAAUGCAUUUUUCUCACGAGUUGUAUCUUCUUUUUACUGGAUUGUUUAAUUUUACAGAAGGUGGUGUGGUGGCUAGAGCACACAGUGGGAUUUAGGGGACCUGCUUUGUACAACUGGCCUGCUGGAUCAGGCAUUUUCUGUCCCUUUUUAAAUUGGGGCAAAAAUCCUGCCUUCCAGCAAGGUACUGUGAGUUCUGGAAGCUGAAACAAUGGUUUACAGAGCAGGGUUAUGCUUGCUUUAGCUAUCAGAAUAAUUUACUCAGAAGAACAUGGCAAAAAAUUCUAGCCUGUGUAAAUUCUGUCAUUCCAAAGAAUACAAGAUAUGUCUUUUAAGAAUUUCAAGGUUUGGCUUUCAAAGAAAGGAAAGCAAUAAAUGUCUCUGGCAUAGGUGUCUCUAAGCAAUAUAGUUUUUUGCACAAAUAAUUAUUUUAGUUUGCAGGAAGCUAUUUAUAUGAAAUUGAAUAGGAAUUAUUCUGCUGCCCUUUCUUAUGAAAGAAUAUCAAAUAACACGAGCUAUUUUUAUGGAUAUUGUCAAUAACAGAGUGCUCAUGGGUGGAGCAUCUUGCUGUCAAACAAGGGUUCAGACGAGUACAACUAUUUCAAAAACAUACACUAGCACUUUUCAAAGUAGAUGCCAUUUAUCCAGUUAUAUUUUGUAUGAUGAUGUUGUCAUCUUACCACAUCUAAAAAUAAAAUACUGCUGUUGGUAGAGUUGGGACUGACGUGGUAGAUUUGAUGCCUUGUUACCACAGCAGAUUACUGAAUGUCAUUCAUGCAAGUAAAUUAAGACUUCAUUUGGGUAAUGAAAUUAGCCUGAACGGGACAAGAGAAGAGGAUAUAUGGAAAAAAUAUAUCUGAAUCUUGUGGUGAUCUUUCUGGCAGAAAAUUCUAUCAUCAGUGUCUCAGUACUGAGAGUGCUCUCUUGAGCCUAUCAGAGUAUAACCUGCAAUGCUCCAGAGCAGCAGCACUCAGAAUACCAACUUUGAUCAUACAGGCUUAGCUAAUAAUUAGAAAUUUGGGAAUUUUCACAGCAUGUAGAUUCUUCUCAGACAAUCAUCUCAUUCAGCAUAUCCUCAACUUUUGUUCUCAUUGCUCCGUUCUUCCUGUUUAACAACAGUAAACAUACAAGCUCCUCUGUAGACAAGGGUUUUUAUAGUGAGGUAUGGACUCUGAGCUUGACAAGAUGACGGCAGGUUAAGGUGUAGAACAAACUUUCUUGCUCUUUGGGCUUACCUCUGAGUCCUCUUAUGAUACUAAAUGCUUUUUGGAGCAACAGAACUGACUAAUUUGUGUUUGGCAAAAAAAUCCAAACAACAGAAACCCUCCGUGUACGCCAGCUGUCAGUACCAGCUUGGUAAGGGGUAUCCAUACAUCUCCCUCCCUCUUUCUACAUGACCACUGUAGUAAUACAGAAUCAGAACAGCAGCAGUUACAUCACUGCUGCUUGGGUAUUAUUGCUGAAAUUACUUUCUUUUUGUCCUUAUACUUCAGUCUUGUAGGUCUUUUGCCUGCAUGCACAUACAUUCACAGAUUAUUCUGUAACUUUUUUAUGAAUUUUUAACAGGUACGUUUAGACACACAGAAGAUUGCAGUAGUGAAAGCCUUUGAGCAAACCUCCGCUGUCCUGUUUGGUGCCUGGUUUUCUCUAGUUACUGCUACAGGUAUGAGCAGAGAGGAUGGAAAAAGGAAACAAGCUGAUUGAUUCCCAAACUUCUACUAAGUCUGUAUCUAAACCAUUACACAGUGUUUUAACUACCGUUACAUGCAUAUGUUGUCUUAUUCGUGCGUAGGAGUUGCCACAUGGCUAUAAUGAUAGAAAUCUUUUCAAACAGUUUUCAAGAGACAGGAAGAAAUAAUGACACCAAGUUUGGUGGUGUUUUUCAUUUGUAGUACAGGAAACAAGUACAUGUUGUAAGUUAAUCAAAAUACCAUUUAUAUCUGAGGUUCACCAGCUUUAAAUUCCAGCAUUACAGAGGCUUAACGCUUAAGUUCAUUUAAUGAGGUUUUAGAAAAAAAAGCCACUCUUGGAAAAAGAUCAAAAAGCCCUUAAUUACUAAGUAAAAGGAAGAGAGUAUAUAGAACACAGUAGCAACAAGUGGAUUUCCCCAAACCUGGUUUCAGCAAGAAUCUUGUUCUACAGCAUAUCUGAUUUGCUGUCAGGCAAAGCUGCUGCCCAGCGGCUGUGCCGGGUGUGUUUUUGUGGGUUGGAUCUGGCUGGCUGUACUCAAGGGGCGUUACCUGUGGGCUCCCUGCUACCGCGCACCUGACUGACUGCAGCGAGCACAGCCCCGGAGGGCAGCGGCAGCUCUUCCCCUGCAGCAGCCCUGCGGGAGAGGACCGAGGCUGUGAUACUCCAUCCACGGCUCUGUGGAUGUUUCUGAUCCAUCUCCUUUUUUAAUAAAAAGCCUCAUCUGAGAAGGCAUCCUAAAAAGAGCAGAGUAGUUCAGCUGCCAGGAAUUUGAUUCACACAUCUGCACUGCUGCAGUCUAAACUCUUUGCGUGCCUCUGGUCAGUGAGCGUUUUACUCCCCAUUACUGCUGAGAGUGCCUCACGUCACUCCUAGUGCACUGUGGUGAAAAUUAUUUUCCUCUGAGCAUGUUACUUCACUAAAUGUAUCCCCUAGGAACCCUGGAACUACAGCUCAUCAUGGUAAGGAGAUAGUGUGCAAUAGAAAUAACUGCAGCAAAAUUAAUACAUUUUCAUAUUAA